GGAAUUGAUAAAAUUAAAGUUUAUAAGUACAAUAACCAUGGAUGAAACUAACCUCAACUGCUAUAGCGUGAAAUCACAUAAAUUUGAUACCAGAGCAAAGUUAGCAUGUAAGGCACGGCUCGUUUUGCUAUGCAAUUAAUGCUUUUUUUAUUUUGAGGGAAGUGGAGGGAAAAGAAAAGAAAAGGAAAUUCAUUUCUUUAAUUUCUUUUGUUUGGACAGCAAUUA
rnacentral:misc_RNA from 1 species